rnacentral:ncRNA from 2 species
CGACCCCGUGCGGGAGAGACCCCUGUUCGGCAGGGGCGCCGAAGGAGCAACCUUCUCCCCGGAAUCUCUCAGGCACCCGUACCGCACGGGCGAG